GAUGAACGCUGGCGGCGUGCUUAACACAUGCAAGUCGAACGAAGCACCUUAUUCUGAUUUCUUCGGAAUGAAAAAUUUGGUGACUGAGUGGCGGACGGGUGAGUAACGCGUGGGUAACCUGCCUCAUACAGGGGGAUAACACCUGGAAACAGAUGCUAGUACCGGAUAACAACACUAGACGCAUGUCUAGAGUUUGAAAGAUGGUUCUGCUAUCACUCUUGGAUGGACCUGCGGUGCAUUAGCUAGUUGGUAAGGUAACGGCUCACCAAGGCAAUGAUGCAUAGCCGAGUUGAGAGACUGAUCGGCCACAUUGGGACUGAGACACGGCCCAA
rnacentral:rRNA from 1 species